rnacentral:lncRNA from 1 species
AUGGGCCACGUGCUUUCUCCCUUGGCCCUGACAGGGCUCGUUCAGGUGCUGCCUGGGAAGGGGGAAAGUGCACCGCAUCAUCUGCAUGCGGGAAGGUGCAGCUGGGGUGUGUGUGUGUGUGUGUCACUCUGCACUGAAACCUGGCCUGCGGGUGCUGCACACGCUCCCUUCCCCUCUGCCACUGCCACUGGCAUCAGCGGACGCCUGGGCACCCGCGUGCAGGUGACAACAGACAAUUCUGGCGGCCCGGGGCAGGCCCUGGUGUAUCUGCAGCUCUCUCUAGAGCAUGUAGGGAGAGCCAGGAAUAAUGUCUUGGUUGCUCUGUCUGUAUAGAUUGCAGCUUUGCUUUACUCUUGCUGCCGCCUAGCCCACGUCUCCUGACUGACACAGGUGAUUUUAACCUCAAGAUGUUUUUUCCCCUUUUAUGAAGUUACAGUGACUGAUCCUUUAUUUCGUGACCUUUGGGUUUGUAUCAUAUCUCCUCACUUUUGACUAUUCUAUUCUAUUCUAUUCUAUUCUAUUCUAUUCUAUUCUAGAAAGGCAGAGGCAGGCAGAGAUCUCCUAUUUAUCAGCUCAGCACCUAAAUGCCCAGCACAGCCAGGGCUGGCCAGCUACAGGAGGAGCUGGGAGGCCAGUGUGGGUCUCUCCCAUGGUGGCAGGGACCCACGUCCCUUCCAGGGUGCGCAUCAGGGCAGGCGCCUGGACGCAGGCAGUGCAUUAUGGGUACCCCACGUGCUGUCACACCUGCCAUGCCAAACUCCUACCCCUGGCUUACUAUUUGUUUUUUCUUUUUUUUUUUUUUUUUUUUUGACAGGCAGAGUGGACAGUGAGAGAGAGACAGAGAGAAAGGUCUUCCUUUUGCCGUUGGUUCACCCUCCAAUGGCUGCCACGGCUGGCGCGCUGCGGCCGGCGCACCGCGCUGAUCCGAUGGCAGGAGCCAGGAGCCAGGUGCUUUUCCUGGUCUCCCAUGGGGUGCAGGGCCCAAGCACCUGGGCCAUCCUCCACUGCACUCCCUGGCCACAGCAGAGAGCUGGCCUGGAAGAGGGGCAACCGGCUGGCUUACUAUUUGUAAGACCCUUCCGUGGUUUGCUGAAAACCCACUCUUCUUCCAAGGUGAGUGCCAUCAGUGCCAUUCCU